UACAGAGGUCCCGAGCGUUGUUCGGAUUCACUGGGCGUAAAGGGUGCGUAGGUGGUCGGGUAAGUCCGAGGUGAAAUCUCCAAGCUUAACUUGGAAACUGCCUUGGAUACUAUUCGGCUGGAGGGUUGGAGGGGGGACUGGAAUGCUUGGUGUAGCAGUGAAAUGCGUAGAUAUCAAGCGGAACACCAGUGGCGAAGGCGAGUCCCUGGACAACUCCUGACACUGAGGCACGAAAGCUAGGGGAGCAAACAGG
rnacentral:rRNA from 1 species